GGGCAGGCGACAUUCGCCUGGAGCUGGAAGCUUCGCCCCGGGUCCACGGGGGGNAACGACCAGNUGCUGUAUGCCCAAGCCGUGCAGUUCACANAUCAAACGCGAGUGGCCUGCGCCCGCAGGUUAAGAUAUGACCGUAGCANCUCUGCGAAGAGUCUGACACUNUAGUUCCGUAGGUGAACCUGCGNAAGGAUCAUUA
rnacentral:rRNA from 1 species